GGCUGGCUAGCUGACACCGAGGAGCCGGGGCGGAAUCCGUCCGCUGCAGCACAGCCGCGCCCGGGGGAAACCGCCAAAACCCCGUAAAAAGUCCAGGAAAAAACAAGCCCAAAGCGGGCGAGUGCGCGGCCGCGGGCAAGCAACCGGCCACCCACCUAGCUCGGCUCCGCUCAGCGGCAGCACCGCAGGCCGCAGCAGCACGGCAUGGGCGCAAACACUAAAAAGAAGGGAGCGGCCGCGCCUCCACCCCAAACCCACCUCGCCUCCUAGUCCCCCCCUUCGCCUUCUCUCCCGAGUCCCAUCGGAGCCCGGAGCUCUCUCGCCUCCCGCGAGGCUGUGUGGUGAGGCGCGGACGAGAUGAACGAGCAGGGGCUCGGUGGUCUCGGCGGGGGCCGCGGGGCCGUGCAGGGGCACGGGCGGGAGGCGAUGGCGCUCUUGCAGCACCAGCAGCUUCAACAGCAACGGCGGCAGCUGGAGGAGGAGGAUGAGGUGCGGCGCCAGAUGUUCGGCGGGGUGGCGGCGUUCCCGGCAGCGCUGGGCCACGGCCAGCAGGUGGACUACGGGGAGGACGCCGGCGGGCUCGGGGACAGCGACGCGGGCGGGUCGGAGCCCGAGCCACCGCCGGAGCGGACGCGCGGGGGGUCCGGCGGCGGCGGCGGCAAGCGGAGCCGCGCUGCCGAGGUGCACAACCUCUCCGAGAAGAGGAGGAGGAGCAAGAUCAACGAGAAGAUGAAAGCGCUGCAGAGCCUGAUACCCAACUCCAACAAGACCGACAAGGCAUCCAUGCUUGACGAGGCCAUUGAGUAUCUGAAGCAACUGCAGCUCCAAGUGCAGAUGCUGUCUAUGAGAAAUGGUGUUUACUUGAACCCUCCAUAUUUGUCUGGCACAAUUGAGCCUGCACAAGCAUCACAAAUGUUUGCUGCAGUUGGUGGGGGCAACAUUACAGCGUCAAGCUCUGGGGCAGUGAUGCCACCAGUAAACCAAAGUUCAGGACUUCAAGUAUUUGAUCCAUUAAAUCCUCCACGAGACCAACCACUGUCUUUUGUAUUACCAAAUGUAGACAAAACCAUUCAAGAAGCUCCCUUUCACUUGGAAUCAUCGCAGUUCCACCCUCGACCAUUUCGAAUGCCUGAAUCUUCUGAGGUGAGGUAGUGGCAAAGCACCAGCUAACUUCAAUUCAAGGAAGAGUUAGUAUGCCAGGAAUUGGUAUGAACCCCAUUAGGCAAGAAUCAUCCACUGUAAAAGCUGAUCAGUUUGAUGGUUGCUCACAUAGCAAAGAGUGACUACGAGAUAUGUGCCACAAAAUGCAUGACAAGUUCAGGACAGCUUAGGAAAUGGCAACCGAUGAGGACCGAAGGCAAGAUGACACAGUUCAGUAACCCAGCUGACAGCCUGGCACGCAGGCUUCCCCUUUAUUUUCCUCUGUUACUGCAAUAGUAACUUAAAUUUUUAGGCUUCCCCUUUAUUUUCCUCUGUUACUGCAAUAGUAACUUAAUUUUUUUUAGGCUUCACCUUUCCUUUUUGUUUGAAAAUUAGCAGGGCAGUAUUAAUUAAUAGUACAAAACCAUGUAUCACCAAGAUUUCAGGGGUUGAAACUUGAAAUGCCAAUAUUCACCAAGCUUUAGUUUUUUUUCA